UCCCGAUUGGAAGAAAUAAAUUAGGUAGUUUUUUAUUCACUUUUAUUUUUAUGUCGUUUCUUUAUUUGAAUUAGUUCUUGAUGCAUGUUUGAAAAUCCCCGACGUAUCACUAAUUCGCAACCGCAUAAUGAUUUUUUUUAUUUCAUCUAUAAGGCUUUAGAUGAAAUGAUUAAUCGCGCGGGAAUAAAAUUGAUAUUUUGGUCUUUAAGGCUUAAGAUCAAUUUAUUGAUUUUAUUAGCGAAAAAAUCAUGGAGGAUUUGGUACCUUUUUAUUGUUUUGUUUAUCUCAAAAAUAAAAAAAAAAAUUGCAUUUGCAUUUCAUGUAGGUUAGAAUUAGGUUUAUUUCAUGUUUUAUGGUUUGCAUAUUAAGAAUAGGCAUUUUAUUUCGAAUAUAAAAAAAAAUAAGAAAAUCAAAUCGAUCAAUUUAGGUUGCUAGUUUUAACUUAGGUUUCACGUUUAAUUACUUGGAAAUUUUUAAUUUCGAAAUUAAUCCAAAAACAAAAAAAAAAAUGCAAGUUAGAUCAGGGCUAGGGUUAGCAUAUUUAGCCAUUUCGUUUAAAAAAAAUAAUAACAAAAAAUCCAAAAAAAUGCAUUUAGGAUAUUAGUUUUUUAAGAAUUGCACGUGUCAAUUUAGAAUAGGAUUUUUGAUUUUAAAUUUUUUACAACAGAAAAAUCCCAAGAAAAAUUAAUUAAUUUAGGAUACUAGUUUUUUGUAGGUUGCAUAAUAGUUUUUUCAAAAAUGCAUGUUUUAGAAGAAAUAACAUGUCCCUUUAAUUUUCACUCUAGUAUUUUUUUAAUUACAAAUUUUCAUAAAAAAUCAUCAUGCAUUUUAGAAUAGAAUUGCAUGUCUCAUUUUAAGUUUAGAUCAAUUUGUAUCUUUGGUUAGAAAUGAAUAGAUUAAAAUAACGUCUUAGUUUAAAUUAGGAUUUAGCAUGACUUAAUCCUAAGCUUAAAUUGGAUAAAAUUUUAAUUUAGCUAGGUAAUUUUUGCAUUUUUCUUAAUUUCGCAUAUCAUGAAAAAUACAAAAAAAAUUUGUCUUUAGAUAAAUUAGUUUCAAGUUUUAGGAUAAAUUGCAUUUUUAGGAAUAGAAAUAUCAUGUGCACGUCAUGUAGAAUUAGGUUCAUAUAAUCAAAAAUUGCCUGUCAUUAUAAUUAUGUCAUUUUAAGUUGCAUAUUUAAUUAUUGCAUGUUCAUUAAGAAAACACGAAAGAAUAUUUUACUCAUGUCAUGUAGUUUAGAACACAUUGUCAAGCCAUUUCAUGCUAGAUUAGAUGCAUUGCGUAUUGCAUGAUUUUCAUUAAAAAAGUAAAAAAAAAAAAAAAACUGCGUGUUAGAAAAUCAUAUUUAGGACUGUUGAUGUGAAUUCUGAUUUAACAUUGCAGAUGCUUUCGUUGCUAUAAGGUAAGUCCUGCAAUUUAUUCAUCGCUUUAUUGGGUGUUAAAUUGGUGGUUUGCGCACCCGCAUGAUCACCUCACAUGUUAGGAAGAUAAAUAAAAAAUCAAUUCAAGCUGCCUGCAAAAUAUUUUUUGAAAUAAAAAAGAAAAGGUACCGAAAGGGCGUUAGAGAAAUCUAGCGUAAUCAAGUCCCCGAACUCAUUUAAUCUCUGGUUCGUAGGAGUAAAGUAAUUCUCCCAUUACUUUACUUGGGUUUCUAAUCGACCCACCCAAAAUAGAUUAGUGGCGACUCCAUGAUAAAAAUCAUUUGCAUAUUAAGAACUUGAACCUAAGUCGCGAAUUGGUAUGGGCUUGGGAGAGCCCGAGUUAAGUCUAGGCUUAACAAUCCAUUAACCUAAACCGUAGGUGGUGCACCUGAAAUUUAGGUCGCGACAAUCAUUUUAGCAAUUUGAAUAAACAAAUAACGAGAGCACAUUGCCAACAAUGACAAAGCAGUGCUCACAUUUUCAGAUAAUGACAGCCAAUGUAUUCCCACCGAGGGAAACUAGAACUCCAAAAGCUCCACACCAAUCAAAAUAAGUUCCAAGGUUUUAACCUUCAGUUAUCCAAGUGACUCGUGUUCUCUUGAUUUAUACAUGACAAUUUACAUGACAAAUAUGUGAUUUAUUUAUACGCUUAAUCAAAAAGCGCUCCUUAGAUCAUUAAACGGUGAUUAUAGUUUUGAUUCCAAAAUUAUUAAAUACCCUGAAGCACGAUGUUAUUGCCUUUAGGUGGCCCGUAAACAGUAGUCAUCCUGUAUCAAGGGUUGUGAACUUUUUCCUUCCUAAGAAAUGGGGAAUGUGCAAUAAUACUACUUAACAUUUUGUCCAUUGGUCAAUCAAGUUUUAAUUUUUUAUUCUGUUCAAAUGAGCCAGUGAAUAUUUUAGCCGAUAAAGUCCCAGUGUCGAUUUUCUAUUAUUGAAAAAAGCCAAGUUUCUGUUCUAUGAAAAGCCACAUGUGAUUUUUUGAACUCAAAAUGCCAGUUGUAACGACUUUAGACUUGGUCGACCAAAAUCGAAAAUCUACGGAACUCAAUUUUACCAAAAUUAAACGAGAAGAACUCAAUUUCUGUUCUAGAACUUUUAUUGCACUUUGAAAAGGGCAACAAGUAUCCAAAAGAAAGAGCACAUACCUUACCCGAAUGAAACAGGGUUGGCAAAAGCUAAAGGCAUAGUUCUAUUAUUUGAUGCCCAAAAUUAGAUUUUUUUUUUUCAUGCUGGUGAAUUUUAAUAAAUAUUGGUAAUUGUAAAAAAAAAAAAAAAAAAAACUGUCCUUAAAAAAAAUCAGUGACUUUUUCUUUCACAUUUGUUAGUGACUUACCAAAUAGUUUCAUAAAAUCACCAACUACUUUCUAUAAACUGCACAUUACCCAUUUCAUACUAACUAACAAAAUUUGGUUUGCAUAACUUACGGCUUCAAAUUUACUAAUUUUUAUUUAAAAUUACAAAUAUAAUUAGAGUGACUUACCAUCUUUGAUAAUGUUCGAUAACGGCCUACUAGUUUUGGAUUACCAAAUCUUACUUCAGCUGCUUAUCAAUGUUUACCUGUUCUUCUAAUUUGCCAACCUUUCUAUUGGGUUCCUAGCUCUCAUUUGAGUUUCUUACUUACUCAUUUUUGAGUUUGUCAAUCUUAAUUUAAGUGACUUACCAAUUUUUCUUCGAUUAAGUUACCAAUUAAUUUUAGAUUAACAAUUCUCGUUUGAGUUACAUGUCAAGUUUAUUUUUCUUUUAAUUAUCAAUUUUUGUUACCUUUUGCCAAAUUUUAUUUAUCUUUCUUAACUACACUUAGAUUCACCAAUUCUUUUAUGAAAUUAGUAACUUAAACUUAACAGACAUAAGAAUUUUCAGGAAUCACAAGAUGAAGCAUCUAUACUUAUAAAGCACGUGUGUUGAUUUUUUUUUUUUUUUAAUGUUCAUAAUUAAUUGUAAAGAUUACUUUUUUUUUUAAUGGAAAAAAUGGACUCCACUCUACUUACCCAUCAUUCAAGUGCCACCCAGACAAAUUCCCCGCAUUGGAAAGAGCUUUCUUCCAUCUCUUCACUUUCUCAGAAUCCUUCUCGAGCUUAAACUCGUGCUUAGCCAGAGAUGUCUUAUAACUCUCUCUGCCCUCUCUCACUUCUCUUGGGUCCACUUUAUAAAACACUGGUAGAACAAUGAGGUUAUUUUGCUCCUUGCACUCUAUAAUCUUCGCCAACUCUUCCAAGCACCACCUUGAGGAAGCAUAGUCCUUGGAGAAAACGAUGAUUGCGAUGCACGAUUCUUCGAUAGCCUUCAUAAGUACUGGCGAUAUUUGAUCUCCCUUUUUCAAUUCCNNNNNNNNNNNNNNNNNNNNNNNNNNNNNNNNNNNNNNNNNNNNNNNNNNNNNNNNNNNNNNNNNNNNNNNNNNNNNNNNNNNNNNNNNNNNNNNNNNNNAUGAAGUUGUUGCGCAAUCUGCACCUCUGAAACUCAAGAAGACAUCAUAAAUCUUUUGGGUUCCGAUGAAGAAGCCAUCAGAUGAUGGAGUUUACCAAUCGGCAACGACUAUUUGCUGAAAAUUUGAGACUCUGUUUUCAGGUAGUUCACCCCUAGGUAGCACCGACACGUUGCCGGAGCUUCCGAGACACGUUGACACACGCUCGGACACGCUUGGACACGUUCGGACACGCUUCGACACGCGUGUCCGAAAGGGUGGAGGCCGCGAGUGAAGGCGAGCCCGCGACGGCGAGAGACGGCCAGAGAAAGAGAAAAGAGUGAGGCGAGGGCCGUGAGGAGGAACUUCACGAGGGAGGCACUCGUGGGGGAGGGCGGCGUCGUCGAGUGGGGCGGCGGCGGCGGCAAGGGGGAGGAGGAGGAGUUCGCGGCGGUGUGCAGCCUCUCCGCGCACAGGGACCGCGCGUUCCGCCUUCUUUUCCGAUCCCUUCCACUGAAAUUUUUUCUGGGUUACUCCCUUUUCCGCUCCUUCGGCGAAUGCUGGUGCUUUUCUUGCGAGUCUUCAAUGCUUUCGGAGAUAGGCGUCGUGCGGUGAGGACUGAGGAGGAGGAGGAGAAGAAGGUGCCGUGCUGCUAGGGUUUUGAGAACUGUGAAGGAAAAUAAAAGAUUAAAAAAAGGAGCUUGCGUGUUGGAGGAAGGAGGAAAUGACAGGAGGGGAAGGGACGGCUGUCAGGUGGUGGGGAGGUAAAAAAACUAAAAAAAUUUGGGGGUGGGGUCUGUU
rnacentral:lncRNA from 1 species